GAUGAACGCUGGCGGCGUGCCUAAUACAUGCAAGUCGAGCGAACAGACGAGGAGCUUGCUCCUUUGACGUUAGCGGCGGACGGGUGAGUAACACGUAGGUAACCUACCUAUAAGACUGGGAUAACUUCGGGAAACCGGAGCUAAUACCGGAUAAUAUUUCGAACCGCAUGGUUCGAUAGUGAAAGAUGGCUUUGCUAUCACUUAUAGAUGGACCUGCGCCGUAUUAGCUAGUUGGUAAGGUAACGGCUUACCAAGGCAACGAUACGUAGCCGACCUGAGAGGGUGAUCGGCCACACUGGAACUGAGACACGGUCCAGACUCCUACGGGAGGCAGCAGUAGGGAAUCUUCCGCAAUGGGCGAAAGCCUGACGGAGCAACGCCCGUGAGUGAUGAAGGUCUUCGGAUCGUAAAACUCUGUUAUUAGGGAAGAACAAACGUGUAAGUAACUGUGCACGUCUUGACGGUACCUAAUCAGAAAGCCACGGCUAACUACGUG
rnacentral:rRNA from 1 species